GAGAUUUUAGUAUAUAUAGUAUUUUUUAUUUUCAAUAAAAAGGUAUUGAAUCUUG
rnacentral:tRNA from 1 species